UACGUAGGGUGCAAGCGUUGUUCGGAAUUACUGGGCGUAAAGCGCACGUAGGCGGAUAUUUAAGUCAGGGGUGAAAUCCCGGGGCUCAACCCCGGAACUGCCUUUGAUACUGGGUAUCUGGAGGUCGAGAGAGGCGAGUGGAAUUCCGAGUGUAGAGGUGAAAUUCGUAGAUAUUCGGAGGAACACCAGUGGCGAAGGCGGCUCGCUGGCUCGAUACUGACGCUGAGGUGCGAAAGCGUGGGGAGCAAACAGG
rnacentral:rRNA from 1 species